UUUUCAUUAUAUAUUUAAAUUAGCGGUGUACUGCGGGUUUUUUUUAUAGGACGGGUUUGGCGGAACGGGUUUGGAAGGACGUUACUUAAUAACAACAGUAAACUAUAAAAUAAAAAUAAUUUAUAGAUAGAUAUAAUUUGCAAACUUUUAUAUAUACUGAUUUUAAAAAAUAAAUUGUUUCUGCGGUGUACCGCUGGUUAAAAUCUAGUUUAUUGUUAUGAUAGAAGUGACGAAAAACAUGUUAUCCUGCGUGCCGAUGAAACAAACAGCUU
rnacentral:sRNA from 1 species